UUGUUGCGCUCUUGGCUGGCGUGCAGAGUGGGCGGGAAAACGUAAGGGAGAGCCAGAGCCCGCGCGGGACGUUCUACCUCGUCCCUUGACAGUUAAUGACACCUGCAACUCCGUUUAAAUGCUAUGAAAUUGCUCGAGGGAAUGUAAAUGGUUAAAAUCACUCGUAGGAAACAAAUUGGCGCCGGGCGUGGUGACACGCGCUUGAAUCUCAGCUCUCAGGGAAGCAGAAAUAUCGCGGUGAGUUGGAGACCAGUCUGAACUGCAUAGUGAGUUGAAGGCCUGCCUGAACCCUGAUCCUCAUAGCAAAACUCUGUCUCAAUAAGAUAAAUAAACAAAUAAGACAAAAGAAAAUAAAUUGACAAUAUGUAUCACAUAACCUUUGGUCUAACAAUUCCACUUAUAGAAAUUCAAGGACAUAAGAAUAUGUGUAAGUGUAAAUAUUUGUGUAAUGUAGUAGUUACCAUAUUUAUACCAGUCUCAAAUUUCCAAACCAAAAAAUAAAGGCAACAGUCUACAUGUUGGACAAUAACAGGCUGGCUAACUAAAUUGCAACAAAUUUGUAUGCUGAAAUUCACCCCUUGAAUGACUAAUGACAAGAGAAAAGUGUUCACCAGCAGGAUACAAAAUUGCAAUUACAAGAAAUCCCAAAUUUUGUUUGAUGGUUACUACUGGAGAUUUCUAUAGCGUGGUUAGGCGUGUGCGUUUAGAUUUCAAAAAAAAAUUCUGUAAUUCUAUAAUAUGCAGGUAAUGCCUUUAUAUUUUUAAUUAUAUUUUUAUAUUUUAUUUAUAUUUAAUUAUAUUUUAAUUAAUUUAAUUUAUAUUUUUAAUUCAGAAAAAUUGCUCAAGAGAGAUGACCUCUGGACAGGGAAAUGAUUUCUACAGCUUUUGGUGUAGAAAUUGAGCCCCUUUGGACUUUUUAUGAGGGUGUGAUUAGGAAACCAUUGCUAUUUCUACAUCCUAGUGAUGAGGUUACUAACCUUGCAGCUGCGGUCUCUUCUACUUUACUUGACAGAAGUUAACAUUCAUUUUCAUCGCUGAAAUGAACUUUACAAGAUGCCUGCUUGAUUUUGUUUGAUGGUAGAAUGAAGCAGGGGUUGCUAUGCCUAUUUUCCAGAAAGUGAGCUGGGGUCUAGAGCUGUGCAGCAACCAGUCCAACAUUAGGCAGUAGUAGAAUUACAGUUAAGACUGGGGAUGACAAACUGGUGCCUCUGAGAGCACAGGGCUUCUCUGAUAGAAGCGUCCAUGUAGCCAAAAUUCAUUUGAAUAAGAUUAGUUUAUUAAGGUUUUCUGUGAGCAGGGCACUAGCCCAGGGAUGUAGCUACAAGCAGCCUUCCCCUUCCACCACCGAUCCCUGUAACAACUCUGACCAGAAAUAGGCCCUUUAGGUGGGAAAGCAGUUAAUAUGAUGCACAAAAUGUGAGACUUACUCAUUCAACUAAAAAUGUUGUAGGCUUUGGUGGUUAGUAAGGAAAUAAGACAACUAAGCUAUAUUCUUACAGAAUUAACAAAAUAUCAGAGAACUGAGUGUUAAAUGGUGAACCAGUCUUCAGCAAUAUAAAAUUAACACAGUAGGAGAUGGGAGGAUAGGAAGCCAUCUCAGCCUUCAAACACUGUAUGGUCAGUAGAGAAAUCAAGAAACCAGGGCCAAGAAAUCUCCCACAAGUUCAUUAAAAUCAAACCCACUGAGGCAGGGGAAUGAUCUAACCUACUUAAAGUCCAAUGAAGAACUUUUCCAAAUGAUAAGGAACAAAUUCCAGGUGGCUAAAGGACAAAUCUGUGUGUAGAAUAGUCAUGAAGUAAUGUAUGGUUACUUUUACUUUUUAGGAUAGUAAAACUGACACCUAGAAUGACGACUUAUCAUGAUAUAUAUUACAUGAAAAGCUAUGAUAACCCAGCCCUUGGGAGGCUUAGGCAGAAGGAUGUGACUUCAAGGCCAGUCUGGGCUAUAGAGUGAGUUGGAGGUCAGCUUGAAAUACCUAGAAAGAUCCUGUCUGGGGGGAGGUGGUGGGGAGCAAAAGGCAGAAUAAGGCAAAAGGCACAACUAAAAUUGCACUUCUGUGUGUGAUGUCAAGAGAUCAGGUCUCUCCCCUGUUGAUGCCAUGAAAGCUGUUUAUCCUUUGGGUCAACCUGGGAUUUCUGUGCCCAUAAGUUUCCCCCUUUUCCUAGAGCAUAAUAAUAAAAGUCUUGUUCUUGUGCCAAAAUGCUUCUAUCUCAUUCUUCUGAAAAGCACCAAAGCCCACAAUGUAACUAACGAGACAAUAAGAAGGAUACUGACAUUCCAGGAAGAGUGGUGUCUCAUUCAUUUAGUCACCCAACUAUUAAUUUUUAAAAAUAAAUGCUGUAGGGCUGGAGAUUUAGCUCAGCGGCAUAAGCACCUGCCUUGCAAGCAGGCAGUCGUGAGUUCAAUCCCUGGUACUGAUAAAAAGGAAAAAGACCAAAAAAAAAAAAAAAAAAAAAAAAGAAUCCAAAAAAAUAAAUGCUGUUAUACACCUAUUAUUGGAUAUUAUGUGGCAAGCAAUGGACUAAGUGAUUUACAGGCACAAUCUCAUUUAAUCCUCACAGCUGUCUAUAUAUAGGGCAGCUACUUUAUUAUCAGUGUAUUUUAAAAAUGGAGGCACACGGGGGCUGGGGAUUUAGCUCAGCGGCAUAAGCACCUGCCUUGCAAGCAGGCGGUCGUGAGAGUUCCAUCCCCGGUACUGAUAAAAAAAAAAAAAAAAAAAAAAAAUGGAGGCACAUAAAGGUUGAGUACUGGACCUUACUCAUGGUCGUGUGACUGGCCUGUGACUGAGCAGAGAUCUGAGUUCAGAUCUCGCUGGCUGUGCCCUACAACUGUCAGAUAGCAGAUGUGGCAUUCACAGACCAGCAGGGUUCCAACUAGAGUGUAACAGGAGGAACCAGAAGGCUGGAGAGAUCUGGGGUUUGGGGAAGGGAACAUUUCAGGCUGAGAAUGCUUGGAGCAAACUUCUAGGAGCAGGGGUGCUGUGGAUUUUAUUUAGUGAAUUUUGGGGGAAUUGGGAGUUUCUAAGUAGGGCUUAUGCUCAGAUUUACUUUAUUUAAAGAUCACUUACAUGACAGACAGGAGAGGAGAAAAAGAGGUAUCCACCCAUCUAUGACAAGAGCUAUUUCUGUUAAUGUUUUGUGGUACGAAGAAAUAAUAGCCCCUCGAAGAUGUCCACACUCUAAUCCCCAGAAGCUGGGAUCAAAUCACUUUAUGUGGCAAAAAGGAUUCUGAAAUGGAGAGAUCAUCCUGGAUUAUCUGGGUGAGCCCAAAAUAAUCACAGCUGGAAAGGGGGGCACUCAGGCAGCAGGGACAGGGUCACCAUGCAGUCCAGGGAAAGGCUCACUCACACGAGUCCUAGCACUACCAGGAUGAGUUGGAGAAGUUUAAUUUUGGUGUCUUGUGUAAGUCAGUCCGUUGUAUGCCAGUGAGGACACAUCUCUAACAUCUCUGUCAAGAACAAAGGUGAUAUUAUCUCCUUAGCACAGCAGGCAGCGUGUCAGUCUCAUAAUCUGAAGAUGAUAUUGUGAUCUUCCUUUGCUUUACUUCUAUAGCUAUUUCUUUAUUUGUUUAUGAAGUUGGGUGAGGUCACCCUGAAACCCAACAAUAUUCUUGACUCAAGAUUUCCACUCAAUGGGGCUGGGGGUUUAGCUCAGUAGCAUAAGCACCUGCCUUGCAAGCAGGUGGUCGUGAGUUAGAUCCCCAGUACCAAUAAAAAGAAAAAAUAGUAAAAAAAGAUUUCCACUCAAGAUUCAGAUUUUUUUUUUAAUUUUGAAGAGAAUGAAACCAAAUGAGACAAAACAAAAUGAAGUCAGUCAAAACAAAAGGGUGGACAUAGUACACAACUUAAAAACAAAAUACAAAGUGAUCAACAGUGGUUGCCAUGAUGUCUCUUGUUAGAAUUGCCUAUAUCAUCAGGCAAAAUAAAAUUGAACAGAACAGUACAGAACAAAACCAAUAAAAACAAAACAUUGGAGACAUUAUGGGAUUUCAAAAGAAGAUAAUAGUCAAACCAGAAUGGGUAUCAUAGUGAAUCUUACUGUCUUCAAAGUAAUUGCCUGUACCCUCAGACUUGAUACUAUCAAACAAAACAGAUUCGAAUAAAAUCAGUCAAAAUGAAACAGUGAAGGUAAUACAGGGCUUCAAAUCAAGUUAAUAGGAAAUCAAAAAUGGUUACCAUAGUAUAUCCUGCUCUCUUUGGAAUAGCUGUCCAUGCUAUCAAAUCUAGUACAAGUAGACAAACAGGAACAGAACAUAACCAAACUAAACAGAACAAUGAAAACAAUAUGGGUUUGAAAUCAUGAUACAAGAUUAACAAUGGCCACUGCCUUCCCUUUUUAGACAACUGCUCUCCUUUCACUUUCACAGGGCACACUGUGCAUUUUGUAUCCCACUAACUCCUUUGAUUUUUAGAUUAGGAGGCAACCCCCUAUUCGCCUAAGUAAUUCUGAACCUUUUUACUCCUGAGCAUGAUCUCAAAUUGUAUUCACUUACUUACAAGAGCCUUAAGGUUUUCUUUCUGUAUAGCUGAGUAGUUUUCCAUUGUACAAAAGUGUCAUGGCUUUCUAACCAAUCUGCAGCUCAUGGGCAAGCUACCGCACUUUUUUCUGGUUCCCUGUCACAUAGAGCAUUGUUUUCUCAUUUUUGACUUUCAGUCUAUAAAACUUUUUCAGGUUAAUUAUAUUUCUUAUCUAGAGCAUAUUGAUGGACCCUAUCUCCUGAUCUAUCUGCUUGUAUUUCUUUUUAUUGGUGUAUCGAGGCCAUCCAUAUUAGUGAUUAUUGCUAUCCUUCUCUGCCUCGCUAUUUUUCUGCCAUUGGUUGUCUACUUUCCCCCUUUAUUCCACUGUCUGCUCCAUUCAGUGAGCCCCCUCUGCUGCUGUUCCUGAAACCAUGGUUUUUUUUCUCUCUUUAGAAUGUCCUUCAGUACUUUUUGUAGGGUUGGUUUGGUGGUCAUGAACUCUCCAAGUUCUUCUUUGUCAUGGAAGCAUCUUGUUUCUCCAUUAAUUUUGAAAGAUAGUUUUUCAGGGUACAUCAAUCUAGGUUGGAGGUUAUUUUCUUUCAGGACUUGGAAUACUUCACGCUCUUCUUGAUUUGAUGGUUUGUGUUGAGAAGUCUGCUGUGAUUCUGAUGAGUUUUCCUUUAUAGGAGAUCUAUUUGUUUUUCUCUAACAGCUUUUAAUAUUCUGUUCUUGGGUUGAAUUUCUGGGAUCUUGAUUAUUAUAUAUCUGGGUGUAGAUCUAUUUUGGUUAUAGCUGGCAGGAGUUCUGUAUGUCUCAUAUAUCUGAAUAUCAUUUCCUUUUCCUAUGCUUGGGCAAUUUUCUUUAUUUCUGUAAAUAGCUUUUGUAUUUCAUUUGUGUUUACCCCUGCUUCUUCACUCACGUUUUUUAUUCUUAAGUUAUAGAUCCACUUGUCAUCUUCUAGUCUUUGUAUUGUUAUUUCCUGGUUCCUUUUUUUUUUUUUUAAGAGAUCUUUCCUUUUGCAAUCGCAAGUUGCAAACCAGUCUUCAAGGUUUGAUAGUCUAUCUUUAGUUUCUUUGAAGUGGUUUUACAAGCUUUCAAUAGAGGUUUUCUUUCUUUCUUUCUUUCUUUCUUUCUUUCUUUCUUUCUUUCUUUUUUUGGUUCCAGGGAUCAAACAUGUUACCUUGUGCUUGCCAGGCAGGUGCUUAUGUCAUUGGGCUAAAUCCCCAGCUCAAUGGAGUUUUUAAUUUUCUGGUAAUCUCUUUGAAUCUGUUUCAUGUAUUCUAAAUUUUUAAAAUAUUCUUCAUUGAAGGUUUCCCUCCUUUUUCUAUGCUCCUCUAUUCCAUCUGUGUCUUCUUUAGAGGUGGUUAGCAAUUCUUUUGUUAUGUUUACUUCCUUUACUUGUACUAGUAUUUCUAUUUUAAGUUCUUUUAUAGCUUCAUGAAGUUGUUUAUUUCAAUUGCUGUUACUUCAGAAACUGCAGGUGUGUGACUCCAGAUCUCUUCUGUGUUUACAUUUCCUGGAUAAGUACUGCUUGGGUUGGAGGCCGGAGACUGCCUUUUGCUUCUUCUUCUUGUCAUGUUUCUGGUUUCUUCCAGACAAGUGGGUAGUGAGUUCCCUGGCACUUCCUGUAUUGGUUAUAGUUACUCUGAAGCUGCUGGCUAGGGAUUUCUGCUGUUUGCUGCUUUUCCCAAUCUGCUGGUGACUAGUGGAGUAUAAGCAGGGGUGGGGCAGUCUGGUGCCUCCCUCCUGAGCUGGUUAACCACAGGGAAUCUCCACCACAUUAGUGUGUGCCAGACUUGGUUAGGGAUAGCUUUAGGGGAACCUCAGCAGUGGCCAUUGAACCACACACAGAAGUGGGACUCAGUCCAAGCAGUUUCCCCCAGUCUGCUCUCUGCUAGAAGUGGCUGAAAUAAAUCGGCUGCAGUUCUGCUCCCGGGCUUAUCCUGCCUGACUCCAAAAUGGCCCCUGGCCAAUUGCCCACUCCUGCAGGAGGACUGAGUUCCCCACACUCACCACCAGCCAGUGCAGUUCUGCGGUCCACUGCUCCCCUCUGCCACCACGUCUCCCCGCUGAGGCCUUUGGGCUUGCCCGCCACCAGCUUCACUGUGACUGUGCGUCUCUGGAUCCCAGUGGCGCUUCUUGCACAGUGGGACCAGCUCUGGUGAAAGUGCCACUGGCUACCACCUUCUGUUUAAGUUUUUCUUUUCUUUUUAUUCUCUCUGUGGGCUUCAAUUCUCACAUUAGUUUCUUCCUGGGUCAAGGGGACUCAUUUCUUUCCUUCUGGUCUUUUCUAGAAUGCUAUAUUCCAGCAUCAGGGCUAUUUCUCUCAGAGAGGCUCUUUACUGUGCUGCUUACUGUUCCGCCAUUUUCCCAUUUUUUCCAAGAUUCAGAUUUUUGACUUGGCUUGGAUCUCAUGUUUACCCUUGGGUGAAAAUAAAAAGCACCUUGAUUGACUCAGAGUUCCCUCAGGACUGUUGAGAAUAGAGAAGUAAUUCCUUAACAGUAAAUGGUGACAGCCAAAAUAAGAGACAAGGGUUUUGGGUAGGCAAAAACAACAGAGGUCCUUGCAGGGAGCUACUGCAAAGGCCAUAUGAAAGAUAAUGUGAAGGUAGCAUUAACAGGUUUGGCUCCAGACCAGAUGAGGAUAAGAAAGUAUGAAUCUUAGGGCCAGAGGACUGGUGGGCGGUGGUAGCCCCAUUUAUAGUUAUCUCCUUUAUUCAUUGAGUCAAAAACAUGUUUAAUGAGCAUCUAUUAUGUGCCCAGUAUUGUGCAAGGUUCAGAGGACCCAGUGAGGGGAGGGUGUCCACCCUAUGGAAUUGCAGUCAAGCAGAGGAAAGUGCAGGUAAGAGGUGGUUGGAGGCUAUGCUGGGAAAGUACAGGCUGCAGAGAGAUCACAAUAGUCUGAGUGUCUAACUCAGACUGAGGAGGAAUUUUGUGUAAGUGAGAUACAAUUUUAAAGAUGAGGAGGAUUUACACAGAGGAGAUAAAGAAGCAUAUUCUGAAAAGAGCAGCAUGUGCAAAGGUCUAAAAAAAAAAAAAAGGAGACUGGGAAGUGGAGGAGAAUUGUGGUACUCAGCAGAGGAACACUUCUCUUAUGUUGUGGAAAAUCUCUACUGUACAGGACUGGGAGGAAAACGGCCAUGCUCCCUUCAGGAGAGUGGAAAGGACAGAAACCCACCUGCUUUCUUGGCAGGAGAGUGAGCACAUGCCAAGACUUGGCCAGCAUGAUAUUCCUGCCCAGGACUUUGACCUUCAAAGGAGGGGGUUUUAGGGACAGAGCCGGCUCUAAGGGAGGUGAGAGUCCAGCAGCACUGGGGAGGCCAGUGGCCAGUAGUGGCUGUCCAGCUAGGCAAUGCCUGUACCAUGUCUUUGGGAGUGUUCUCAGCCUAACUGCUUUUGGUUCCUCUUCAGGUUUGGAAUUCAUGAGAUCCUCACAUUAUUCACGAAGUUCCUUCGCCUCUUAGGCUAGCCACCAGGUCUACACUGGCAGCUUGAAAUCAGCCACGGUGGAGAGUUUAUACUAUAGAAAUUGGCAAAUAUUGGUAUGGAACCAAGAGAGGGCCAUUUUGGCUGGAGUUAAAACUCAAGGGGGGGGGGCGCCUGGAUGUAGUGGUGUCCACCUGUAACCCCAGCUACAGGAGCUUGAGGCAAGAAGAUCAUAAGUUCAAGGCCAGCUCAGACAAUGUAGCAAAUUUUUUUUUCUUGGUACUGAGAAUUGAACUCACGACCUACAGUUACCAGGCAAGCACUUGAGCCACUGAGCUAAAUCCCCAGCCCCAAUUUAGCACAUUCUAUCUCAAAGAAAUAAAUUUUUUUUCAAAAGGGCUAAGGAUGUAGUUUGCCUGACAUGACCAAGAUCCUGGGCUCAGUUCAUAGUAUUAAAAACAACAGGAAGGGGGAGGGGGAAGAGAGAGAGAGAGAGAGAGAGAGAGAGAGAGAGAGAGAGAGAGAGAGAGAGAGAGAGAUUGAUUCUUAGGCAGGAAAAACAUGCUUCUUACUUUUGAUCAAAAUUUUUUUUUUAGUACCAGGAAUCAAACUCACAAUUUUGCGCUUGCCAGGCAGGCACCAUGCCUCUGAGCUAUAUAUCCCAGGACCUGCCUCCUUAUUUUUGCAUGUCAAAGGGAGGCUGCAAUGCCUGAUAUUCAACAAUAUUCUUGGGGGGCUGGGGAUUUAGCUCAGCGGCAUAAGCGCCUGCCUUGCAAGCAGGCAGACGUGAGUUCGAUCCCUGGUACCGAUAAAAAGGAAAAAAGACCAAAAACAAACAAACAAACAAACAACAACAACAAAAAAAAACCAAUAUGCUUGGGACCAUGAGGGGAGACUUCCUUUGGACUUCUUGUGAUCAGAGAUAGACCCUUAAUGGUCAAGCCAUGUUUAUUUGAGUAUUUGGAUAGCUGCUGCUGAAAGCCUUAUGUAACACUGAAAUCACCCAAUCUCCUUGGCUCUCAGUUUCUCUCUGCAAAGUGAAGUUGGAUGACACUUAUCUUAUAGGGUCAUCGUGACUGGAAUUAGGUAAGAGAUGUAAAGUAUUUAACAUAGCACCUUGCUUACAUUAAGCAUUCUGUAAAUGCUAUUAUAUACUACUGGCUUCAAAACUGUGGAGUAGAUGAGUUUGUCCUGGGAGAAGGUAGGGAGAAGGGAAGGAAAAUAAAGACUAACAUCUGCGAAGCCAGUAUAUGCGAGGAAAAAGGUGUCCAAGAAAGGACUCAAGGAAUGAUAGGUGAGCUAAGAGGAAAACCUGAAAUCUCAUUUGCUCCUAAUUCCCUUUUUCACCUGGACUAAUUCAUCCUUUAAAGUUUGAUUUACAUAUCUGCUUCUCUUUGAAGCUUUUCUGCGCCAUUGGACCACAGUUUCAGCUUUUAAGUUAGUUGCCAUCUCCCACCUGUUCUCCCUUAGUUUCUGUAUUUACCGUGAUUUAGUGUGGCUUUCUGUUCUUAUGUCUGCCUUCUGCUUUGGACCAUGAAUGAAGUCCUUAAGCAGAGGUCCCCGGACUGGAUCUCCUCACCCCCGGCUUGGGGGUUGGCAACCUGUAAUAACAGCAGCAGCUAUUAUUUGAUGGCAGGCCCUAGGCUAAGUGCUUUACGCAUAUUAAACUAUGCAGUCCUCAUGACAACUUGAUGAGGUAGGUGCUAGUCUUAGUCCCAUUUUAUAGACAAAGAAAUUUAAGUACUGUGAGAUUAAAAAAAUUGCCCAACAUUAUGGUUAAUAAAUGGUAUAACUGGGCCACAAAGUCAGGUGGUCUGGCUCUCAAACCUGCAUUAUAUCCACUCUGUUAUGUGUUUUCCUGUGUAAUGGGUUCUGAUAAGGUUUUUUUGGUCGAAAGAAUGAAGAAGGAAUAUUACCAAAGCCAAAGAGUUUCGGGGACUAUGUUAGUCAGUGUCAGCUAAAUUACUCUGCAGUGGUGACUAAUAACCCUCAACUCUCUAACUUACACAAAGAGUCACAUGGCAACUACAUGUCAGCUAUGGCUCUGUUGUAUUAGGGAUGUAGGCAGUUUCUUUCUCGUCUGAUCUCGGAAGCUAAGCAGGGUCGGGCCUGGUUAGUACUUGGAUGGGAGACCGCCUGGGAAUACGGGGUGCUGUAGGCUUAGAAAAAAAAAAAGAAGCAGUAGUUUCUUGUCCUAUUUAGAAAAAUGCUGUUCUCAGGGGAGAAGACGGGAUGCAUGGUGUGCUACAACCAGCUUACAUUAGAGGAAACUUAUAGUAUACAUCUCUUUCCAAUUCCAUGCUUGAAAAUAUCACCCGGGCUGAAAUCAGUUAUGGUGGGAAAAAUUUAUACUAAUCGAAAUUGACAAAUACUUCUUUCUUUGGGAAAGUUGCUUAUUAAACAUUUACCAGCACAGCACUGGAGGAAAACAAUGAUGAGAUUACCUCCUGAUCCUUAAAGCUUUGGCCCAGAAAUGGCACAGGUCAUGAACAUGUCACAGUUAAUGUGUAUUUGUACUUGCCGAAGCACAGCCAAUUGCUGUCACUGGGGCCCAGAAUAUACUCCUGCCAUUUCAAGGGUCUCUUUCAGGGAGGCAGCAGUUAUUCAGAAAAAGCCCCAUGAUCUGCUGUCAUGGAGGAUCAUGGACAAGGAACAAGAAAAAACCCCUAGGGGCUGGGGAUUUAGCUCAGUGGCAUAAGCGCCUGCCUUGCAAGCAGGCAGUCGUGAGUUCGAUCCCCGGUACCAAUAAAAAGGAAAAAGACAAAAAAAAAAAAAAAAAAAAGAAAAAACCCCUGAAAUUGGCCUUGAGGACUCUGAGACUUUUAACAGGUGGCUGUUUGAGGUUGAAAGAGGUGGGUGGCUACGUGGCUCCCAUUUUAUUUCUGCUUUGUGGCAAAGUUCUCCAUGAUUUAAUUUUAAAAAGUGAGCAUUUAUUUAGCCAAGUGUUGGUUCCAGGACCGUGUCCAGCCCACCACAGACAGUCUCACUGAGUCAUCUUAGUGAGACUCUUGCUUUUGCUAUGUCAGAGCUAUUUUUAUUCCUGUUUUAUGUAUGGUGGGAACUGAAGCUCAGAAACGGCUUGCUUGAAAACCACACAGUUAGUAAAAUCUACCGGACGGCAAUUUUUUUUUGGUGGUAGUUGUGGUAGAGUAUUUAAGUACUUCCUGUUCUUUCUGAUGGGAGAAUUAUAUAUCUCUAUUUUGUUGAACUUAGGUGAGCGCAUAUGACUUUGCUUAACAUGACCUGAGCAAAAGUGAGAAACAUGCCGUGUCAGGAUAGCAGAUGUGAGUGCCUUGGGGGGUGGGGUGGGGUUCUAUGUUCUCUUUUCCUUCCUUCUGCAGUUAUGAAAGCUGUGUUGGAUUGGGACCAUCCCCUCAGCCUGUGUCCCUAAGAAAUUACAUUAGCAGACUCUCCUGGUUAAUUCAGAUGAGACUGAGCAUGAACAAGGAGUUUAUUUGGUAAUGAGAUUCUCACAAUUAUUGCUUACUGCAGCAAAACCUUAUCCAUCCUAACUUAUCUGUCCCUCACCAGGAUCAGAAUAAAGAGACUGAACAGGAGACUCUUGCCAAGUGGACCAAGAUCUACUUAUGCUGCUGAGUGGAGACCUAGACUUUGUGUUCCAGGGACUUUGUGGGCUUUAAGUUCUGGUUUCCUAUUCAGACCAAGUUGUUCCCAUCUGGCAGAGAGCAUGUGCUUCUAUACCCUUUUUGGGCUUCACAAGCCCACCUGAUCUAGUGCCCUUUUCCAAUCUCUGUAACAUGCUUUCUAACCCUUUGCUACCAAAACCAAAUGUGGUUUGAGAUGUGGUUUUCUGAAGAACUGACUAAAUCCAGGCCACCUAAACAAGCAAAGCCUUUCUGCUACUGUUUUGAGGCUACUGUGGUCAGAUGCUGGUUUGCAUAAAAGCUGCCAGCCUUCAAAAGCAAGCUUAUGAUAUUAACAGCAACCAUUAAAGAAAAAUUAUUCAAUGACAUUUGUUAAAGCAAGGAAAAGCAGACUCUACCCAGGAUCACUGAUAUGCUUAUAGCCACCACUUCAAUGGAGCUUUGCAGUGGCGGCAAGAAAUUGGGCUAAACUCCAAAUACAGCUGAGGCAAGUGGGAAUUUAUAAUGAGGAAGCAGUUUUGGGGGUGUCAAAAAUGGAAAAUUGCCAAGAGAAAACUUCAGGGGUUAGAGCUGUUUUGGCUAAACCCACCUAACAGGAUUGUUGCUGAAGUCAGGCUAGUGAUCAGAUAUUGCCUGGGGGUUGGUAAAGAAUGAGGAUUAAUCAAGAAUGAUCAGAUAAACUGAUUUAGCCAUGUUCUUUGGUAAAAUCGGAUUUUAUAAGGAAGUACUCAAAGGGGCCUAGCAGAACAUUCAAAAACCUGACUACAGUUUGGCCAAACAAAGAAUCUUUGUCACAACAAAUACACAUUUAGUUAGAAAAUGUUGCACAUUCAGUAUAGACUGUGAUAAUGUGAGAUGAACUAGAAGCUCUACAGGAAAAUGAUGAUGCAGGCCAGAGGGCACUGGGUUGGAAGAAUUUACUGGGAUCACACUUUUUGAGCGUCUCCUGUGCCUCGCAGUGAGAACUCUGUGGUCUCUAUAUUAUCAUUUUCCUAUCAUGGAGACAAGAUACCUGAGAGUUUACAAAGGGGAGCCUUUAUUUUAGCUCACAGCUUUGGUGGAUUUAUUCUAUAAUAGGCUGGCUCCAAGACAAAAAUGGCAUGAGGGAAGAAAGCUCUUCACUGUAUGUCUGCUAGGAAUCAGGGAGAGAAGGUGGAGGGGCUGGGGACAAGAAUACUUCCUUCCAAGCCAUGCCUCCAGCAACUGUGCCUUCUGAAUGUAAAACUUUGGGGAAACAUUUUAGAUCUAAACCAUAACACUGUGUCAGGAAAUGCAGGUGAUGGUAGAGACAGGCAGGUAAGUAGCACAGAAUGCUAAGGGUAAUGGAUGAUGUCUACUGAUUAGUUUGGUUGUUCUUUCAUUUCAGCAUAUCUAUUAAGCUCUCCUGUUCUGCUAGGGGCUGGACAUUUAUUGGACUGGGCAGUAAGUAUAAGGAAGACUGAGAUUGUCCUUCUGCUCUUGACAUUUAGAGUCUAGUCAACAUGAGAGAAAUAGGCACAAAGUGCAAGGGCGCAUCUAGCAGGGGCAGACAACAUAAUCCAGGGUGCGGGCAAGGACAGGGUUCUAGCAUAACUUUUUAAAGGACAGGACUGAAUCCUGAAAGAUGAGUGAGAAGGAGGUAGCAAAGAAAGAAGAAAGGCAUUCUGGGCAGAAGAAACAAUUUAAGCAAAGACUUGGAGGUACAGUACACCAGUAUGAGUUGCUUGGCUAAAGCAAGGAGUGUAACCUAAAGAGGGGCUAGAGAUAAGGUCAAAGACUAGACUGACAGGGGCUGAAGGAGCUCAGUUUAAGUGCUUGAAGACAAAGGAGCCACUGGAUGGGUAUUGAAUUGAGGCAUUUAUUAUUUAAGAAACAGGCUCAAGUACUAUAAUGGAGCCUCUAAAAUAACAAUGAUUUAGACAAGAUAGAAGUUGACUUUUUGCCUAUACAAAAACUCUGGUAGGCAAAUGAGUGUCAAUAUAGUGCCUCCUAUGUCAAUGGCUCUGGCUCCUUUUGGCUGGCUGCUCUGAUAUUCCCAAUACAGCUUUGUUCUUGAGGUUCAAGACAGUCAGGGUAGCAGCUCCACUUCUGCAUCUUACCCAACCGGCAGGAGUAAAAGGGCUGUAGGAGGACACCCCUCCCCUCUAAAGAUGUGAACUGGAAUUGCAGGCAUCACCAUCAUUCACACUGCCUGGGUCACAAGUGAGUCACAUGGCCACAACUAGCAGCUGGGAUCCUGGGAAAUGUAGUCCUUAUUCUGGACUGACGUGUUGCUCAGCUAAAAGGAAAGGCUGUAUGAUUAAAGGAAGAAUGGCUGCUGAGGGAUGACUAGCUGUCUGUCUUUUGUUAUGCUUUAUUAUGUUCUCUCUGGGGAGGGGUGGAGGAUGGCUAGAUGGUAAGAGAUCAAAGCCAAAGAAACAACCGAAAUGAGAGACACUGGGGCCUGAACGAGGGCAGUAUUCCUCAUUUCCAAAGGUCAACUUCCACUGGAUUCAAAGUCCAAAAAGGUAGGACCUGAGGCUGGAGAGAUGGAUGGGGCCUUUUCUCUCUGCUCUUCCCUCUUCUGGGCAGGAAUCAGAAAGAAAGAACUUGUUUCUCUGCAUGUUCCUUGCUCCCCCUUGGCUGACUCUGUCUUCAUAGCUUGGAAGAUGUCUGUUUUCCUGUCUGUUGGCUGAAAGCUGCUUGGCUUGUUGUCUGUAGAUGUAGCUCCUGUGUAUGUACUGGGGAACUCUUACGGAGGGAUCUCUCUACAGGCCAAGCUGAAAAAGGGCUAGGUGCCCUGCUGGUGGUCUCAGGUUUCACCAUUCAUCUGUUUGCCCCAGCAGGCCAGCUGCCCCAGUCACAUCUACUCUCUGCAGCUCCAACCAUGGCUUGUGGGCUUGGUGAGAUCCACCUUUCUACCUCUCCGUGCCCACUCACCACUUGGUUACUUCCUCGGCCUUCUCUCUUCAAUGCCAUUUGCCCUAUUUCGGUUAUCGAGGUAGGGUGGCUGUUAUGUUCAGUUGCUCAAAGUGCAUGUCAAGCAACGAGAAGUCAGACGCCCUCUACUGGCACCCUAAACCAGAGGAAUAAUUCAUUUAGUUUUGAUCAAAUUACCUACAUCUGUGUAACAGACCACCUCAAACUUUGCAUCAAAAGACAAUCACUAUUUUAUCAUGCCUAAGGAGUCUGAGCCAGGAAUUAGGCUAAGCAUAGGAGAGAUUCUACUUAGAAGGUGGCCUCUAGGACGGCUCCCAGUGGAUUCUGCCUCCUGGUAUUCACCCUUGGGAAGUCCUCGUCCAUAGGAUAUUGGUUUGUGUGACCAAUAGGAAAUGGUAGAAGUAAUAGUCAGUGCUAUGGUUUGAACGUGGUUGAUUAUCUCCCCAAAUGUUCAUGAGCUGGAAGCAUGAUCUUCAGUGUGGAGGAGUUGAGUGGUGAGUCCUAGUGGAAGGGAAUUAGAUCAUGGUGUCACUGCCCUCAGAAAGGUCUUGUGGAAUGAGUUAGUUCUUCCAAGAAAGAAAUUGUUAUAGAGGAUAAGCUUAUGCCUAAAUCCCUCUAGCUUUAUAUUUUGCUAAAAGAUCUCUUUCAUAUUCAUUCCUCCUGUUAUAAUGCAUCUCACAAGGGCCUCACCAGAGGUUAAGCAGGUGGGGUCUUCCUGGUCUUGGACUUUUUGCCUCUGAACUAUGAACUAAAUCUCUUUUGUUUAAAAAGCAUCCAGCUUCAGGUAUUUUGUUGCAACAACAGAAAACAGACCAGCCCAGUAUGUCACUCAUGAGUGAUUCUCUUGGAUGGUUCACUCUGGGGGAAGGUAGCUGUCAAGUCAUGAAGACACUUGUUUGUGGAGAGUCCCAUCUGGAGAGAGACGGAGACAUCCUGUGAAUGGGCGUGUGAAUGAACUUGGAAAUGAACCCUCCAUCCUCAAAGUGACUGCAGCUUGGCUCACAGCUUGAAUGUAUUUUUUGUGAGAUGCCCUGAGUCAGAAUCACCCAAAUGUGCCACUCCUGGAUUCCUCACUAUCAGAAGCUGGGAGAACAAGCCACACGCUGCCGUUAGCGAAACGCCUACCAUUCUCUUCCUGGAUUCACUACAGCGUGUAUAAAGAGACUGGCAGAUGCUAUCAGAGUCUCGGAGAUCACAGGAGUGAGAGAGGCGGGACUGAGAGCCUGAGGGGGAAGUGACUUUUCCAAGGCAGGCUCUGCUGCGCCUCCUACCUCACAAGAAGGGAGUGAGAGGAACAUGUCAGGGCAAAAAGUAGACAUGAGGGGCUGGAGAUUUAGCUCAGCGGCAUAAGCGCCUGCCUUGCAAGCAGGUAGUCGUGAGUUCGAUCCCUGGUAUCAAUAAAAAAGAAAAAGAAAAAAAAAAAAAAAGUAGACAUGAAAUCCAACUAGUCAAUAUUACCCAAGUGACUGUGCUUAUUGUAACCUUUACUGGUUCACCAUAGUCUCGGCCCAUCUCAGACCCAUCUUGUGAUUUUCCACUGAAUCAAUUAUUACCUUAGCAAGUAUUCUUGUAAUCGUACUGAUUCAUCAUAGCUCUGUCCCACCUUGAGCCCCCCUCCCCUCAUGGCUUUGUUCAGUAAACACCCCUGAGAAGCAGGGUUGGUGGGCAACUCAUUAUCUGGGCUCCCUCCUGUCCCUCUUAGGCAGAAGCUUUCUUUCUCUCAGUGAAUUCUUCCUAUUGUUUAAAAAAAAAAAGUAGAUUUGAAGUGGGAGGAAGGAGUGAAACGGAGAAGUCAAAAGCAAUGACAAAAGUGAGAUCUCACUGUGUGUGGUGGCACACACCUGUAAUCCCAGCACUCGGGAGGCUGAGGCAGGAGGAUCACUGUGAGUUUGAGGCCAGCCUGGGCUACAAAGUGAGUUCAAGGCCAGCCUGAAGUACACAAUGUGAUCCUAUCUCAAAACAAAAUGAAACAUCUGAGAUCUCACAAUUUUUUCCUUAGGUCAACCAUAUGAUGGCUAAAAGAUAUAGAAAGCAGAAUCCUAGAUGGAGCAGUUGAGGACCUAGGCUAUACCAGAGGAUGUUACAGAAGAGCACCGAGGGCAGCAGCUGAUGAAAGCACUGAAUCUCCUACUCACCAUGACCUUGGGUUGCAUCAGCAAUUAAUUAACUCAGUAACUACUUUUGGACCAUCUGCUAUAUAUCAAGCAUUGUUUUAGAAAUUUAGGCCAGCUCUGGUGGUGCAGGCCUGUAACCAAAGCACUCUGGAGGAUGAGGGAGGAUGAUUCUGAGCUUGAGCCUCACCUGCCAAACUUAAGAGACUUUGUGAGAUCCUGUAUCAAAAUAAAACAUACAAAAAGGGGAUGGGGGCUUGGAAGGUAGCUCGCUGAGAAGAUCCUGGGUUCAAUCUCUAGUACUAUAAAAAAGAAACGAAAAGAAAACAAAAUUGGGAUAUAGUUAGGGGUUUGCAAGGAGAAGAAGACAAUACAAGACAUACAAUUAUAGUAUUAUUUUAUGGUAGUCACUCGAGUCAAAUACAAAAAAAAGUACAGGAACUCUGUCCACAAACUAAAGACUUAGAGAAUCCAGUCAAGAGCCUGGGUCCCACAGCAGUGUCCUACAUAACUCCAGCUUAAACCUAUAGCCUUGACAAUGUCCCCCAUGAGUCCAACAGGAGGUCUAGGGCCCACAACGAUGACUCCUGAAGUCUGUUUCAUGGAUCUGUGCUGGGAAGGCCAAAGAUCAGUGGUGGAAGCAAGAAAGUCUAUGCCAGCGGAACAAAGGAUCUGUGCCAGUAGGUUAAGUAUUCUGCACUGGAGCCAAGAAGCAAUGCUCAACAUAAGGACCAGGGCUCCCCUGAAAAGUACCACAGCCAUCCUUGGUGACAAGGAGAUCCUGAGCUCCUCCAACAAUGAGAACUGGCUUCAUAUCAGGAAGCCAGCAUGACAAGCUUCUCCUGGACAUUUGAACAGCGCACCAUCUUCCCUUCAGGAGCCAGGAAGCGAUGCUCAAAGUAAGGACCAGAGCCCUCCGAAAGUGAACUGCAGCCAUUCUCAGCAACAAGGUCCCGAGCUCCUUUGAUAAUGUGAACAGCCAAGUUCAUAUCAGGAAAGAAGCUCAGCAAGCUCCUCCAGGAGAAUCCACAGCAACAGGAGAACCAACAGCACUAAAAAGCACGUAGGAGGAUCCACAACACUACUCUUCCUUUCCAGGUCUCCUUUUUAUGCUGGCAACAGUCCUCAGAUGGGCCAUCUACAUUCAGCACCACACGGAUUCAGUUCAGCUGGUGUGUAAGUUGACCAUCAAUUUUCAGUCCACAAUAGGAUAUAUCAGUGAUCAAAAAGAUCACAUACCCUUGUACUUAGGAAGUUUAAAAUAGACUCACUCUGAAAAUUCUAAAGCAUCUUAGAAAGUGACAAGUUCUGGGGAAGAGGAACAGGUGAAAAGAAGAGAAUCAAAAGCAUGCAUAAGGGUGGGUUGAAAUUGUGGUAAGGUGACAUUUGAGCAAAGGCUUAAACUUAGCGAAAGUGUACCACAUACAGCAUGAAAUGUGUAGACGCCUGGAAGAAAAGCAAUCCAGGCAAAAUAUACAGUGACGUGCCUGGGGUAAAGGGGCAUUACAUCAGCAACUUACUCUUAAAUGAUUCAGAAAAAAUAAAUGAUAGAGACAGAUGGCUGGACAGGUAGUAUAGAUAUUGAUAGAGGUGUAUCAUGUAUGUGCACAUACAUAUAUAAACAUAUGUGAAAAGAGAGAAAGAACAAGAAAGCCAAACUGUUAAGAUGUUAAUAUUUGGGGGAAUCUGGGUGAAGGUAUGUGUUAUUUUUGGAAGUUUCUGUAUGAAUUUUAAAAUAAAGUAUUUCUUUAAAAAAGGAUUUAUAUUACUUGAAAACAAAAGACUCAGGAAGCUAAGGCAGGAGGAUCAAUGCAAAUUUGAGAUGAGCCUGAGCUACAAAGUGAGUUUAAGGCCAGUUUGAAUGGCAUAGUGAGAUCCUAACUCAAAGACCAAAAACAAAAACAGACAGACAGAGAAAAAAAAGAAUGAAAACAUUCUUGCAGAGGAAGUAGCUGUGUAAAGAUCCUAGGGUACCAGAGUACUUGGGUGCUAACAAAGAAAAGUGAUUCGUCAAAGUUUCCCUGCCGAGAAUGUGGGCCCACUUAAAGCGACAGCUCUGAUUCUUCCUUUGUGGAACCAUCUCUUUAUCCCUUUUAUUCCGUACAGUAAGCCAUCCUCCAGCUGGAGGAGGGGGGUGCUUAGGAACCAGGCCCGACCCAUCACAGAACAGGACCAAGAAGCUGGGCCAGGGCUGAGCGGUGUAAGGAGACUGGCUGGAGAGGAAGCCAAUCCUGAGGAAGACAUUGAUGAGACUUGAAUCAGAUUCCCCAUGACAUUUUUUAGCUCUUGGGUCUAAUUCAUAUCUAAGUCAUUUGCUUGUCAUUGAGACAGGGUCUUACUAUAUAGCUAAAUGGGCCUUGCCUUGCACUCUUUUUGCCUCAGCUUCCCAAGUGCUGGGGUUACAUGAUGUGCCAUCAUGCCUGAACUUUCAUUGUUCAAUGAGUUAAUUACGCGAAGCAACAGAUGCCCUCUUUGCUGGAGCGAGUUUGAGCAGUUUCUUUUGACCUGCAGCAGAAAUGCAUGCUGACUGGUCCGAAGUGUCAGGGGAGCCUCAGGCCUAAAGGAUGAGGAGGGCUGGUCAAGUGAAGAAGUGGAGAAAAAUAUUCCAGACAGAGACAAUAGCAAAUGCAAAGGCCCCAGGAAUGGAAGGAGGAUAGUGAUCUCAAUGAGCUGGAGUCUAAAAUGGUGGCAGGGAGAGUGAGGAGCAGGCAGAGAGAGACGAGGGAGGCUGAAGUGCAGUUCUGGAUGGAAGGCCUCAAGGCUCUGAGACUGUCCCAAGAGCAACAGGUCUCACUAUGCAGUUCAGUUCACUUUGUAGCCCAGACUGGCUUCAAACUCUCAGAAAUCCACCUGUUUCCUCAUCCCAAGUGCAUUCUGGAAUUACAGGUGUGCACCGCUACGCCCAGCUCUAUAAAUAGGUAAAACUGAUUAAAUUUGCCUUUUGAUAUUUUUAAGAACAUUCUGUUGCAAUGCAGAGAUUAGAUGGCAGGGGGCAGUGUAGAGCAGGGGAACUACUUAGACCUCCAGCCUAGAGAGGAAGAUGACCUGGGCAGGAACAAGGCAUAAACAUGUAGGAAGUGGAUAGAUUUUGUGCAGCUAGUCUCCAAAUGUGAUUCCCAAUAAAGCAUGCCUCCCAAUAUCCGUGCUUUGUGUAGUCCCAACCCAUAUGGAAUCCAGGACAUCCUUGUGCCCUUAUGAACCAAAGGAAUGCAGAGGAAGUGAUACCACACUGGCACUGAGCCUAAGCUUUAAAAUGACUAGGUGUGGUGGUGUAUACCUGUGAUCCUAACUCUGUGGAGGCUGAGGCAGGAGGAUUGCUGUGAGUCAAGGCCAGCCUGGGCUACCUAGUGAGUUUAAGGACAGUCUAAACUACAUAAUGACACCCUUUUGAAAAACAAAACAAAGAUAUCCCGGCAAGCCCUCCACAGGAGCCCUGCUCCACUAGGAGGAAGGCCAGCCCCUUUGUUUUGGGCCCAUGUGGCAGAUUAUGACAGAAACCCAGUUAUCUCAGUCACUGUUGAUCUUCUAUAUGACUGUAAUCUCAGCUACCAUCUGAUUACACCACAUGAGAGACUAUUUCUUAACCAAAUACUUGAGAUUGGGUAAUAUGUAAGCAACAGAACUUAUUUCUCAUAGUCCUGGAGCUGGCAAAUCCUAGAUGAAGGCACCAGCAGGUUUGGUAUCCACUGAAGCCAUUCCCUCACAGAUGGUGCCAUCUAGGGGUUUUCACAUGGUGGAAGGGACAGAAGGGGAAAGGCAGCUCUUCAAAGCCUCUCAUGAGGCCAUUAGUCCCAUCCACGAGAGCAUGGCCCUUCUGGUCUAAUUGCAUCCGUAGUCCCACCUCUUAAUGCCAUGACCUGGGAGCUAAGUUCUAAAACAUGAAUUUUGGAGGGAUCCAGAUACCUAAUUCAUAGCAGAAUGUGAAUGAGAUCAGCAGAAAAACUGCCUAGUAGAGACUGGGCAGUCCAUAGAACCGUGAGCCAUUUUUAGGCCAUGGCAGUCUGGAGUGUCUUGGUACAGAGUACUAGGUAAACGGAAGCAGACUUGAGAAACAUUCGAGGAAUGAAAAGGAUAAGAAAACCGAAGAAGUGUCAGAGAGGAUGUCAAGGUUGCUUGCUGAGUGGGGCAUGAGCUGGAAAAUAUAAGCUGAUGAGUGAGAUUUUGGACAUGUUGAGCCUAGGAGCAUCCAUGUAAUAUUCACAAUCCUGUGACUAGACUGUACUCAGCAAGUGUCAAGCAAGAACAGAUAAUAGGGAACAAAUGCCCAUCUAAGCCAGUACAAAUGAAUGAUGGUAAUAUUGGGUGUUAAGCAUGCACACUCUUGUUUUGGUUGUGGACUGAGACACUCUGUAAAUGAUCAAAAUGAGGGAGUGCAUAUGGUUGUUUUUUACUUCAAAGAGGGCACCUUCUGGCCGUGUCUGAAAUGGCUGCAUCCUGGAAAUUGGUGCUGCACAGGGCCUCUUAGCUUGGGCAGCUGGAGCCCCAGCCAGGAAAGGAGUAUUUCAAAUCAGAUAGAACCAUAUACACACCAUUUCUUGGAAAGCAUCAGCUCUCAGGAUCUCAAUGCUUUGACCUUGUGUUCCAGACAAGUGCAAUUAGUCCUCAUUCAUUGCUUUUGAUGCUGCCUGUUGUUGAAGCAGAAAAAGGUGGAGGCCCAGUUGCUCUUGUUAGACGGUUCUCACCGUUACAAGCAUUUGUGCUUGCAUACAGGUACGGUAUAUGUACAAGAGAGAAAUGGACAGCUAUGACUUUGAAUGGCCUUCUGAGGCUAAAUUUGAGUUUUGGUCACCGAACAUCCCCAGGAAACAGUAAGUGGGUGGUUCGAGACAGUUAGGGACCACCUUGGUGGGACAAAAAUCUGGAAUGACAAAAUAAAUCCCUGAGCUCAGUAAGA